rnacentral:rRNA from 1 species
AUUGAACGCUGGCGGCAGGCCUAACACAUGCAAGUCGAGCGGAUGAAGGGAGCUUUCUCCUGGAUUCAGCGUCGGACGGGUGAGUAAUGCCUAGGAAUCUGCCUGGUAGUGGGUGAUAAUGUCCGGAAACGGGCGCUACUACCGCAUACUUCCUGAUGCUGAAAGUUGGUGAUCUUCGGACCUCACGCUAUCAUAUGAGCCUAGGUCGGAUUAGAUAGUUGGUGGGUUAAAGGCCUACCAAGGCGACGAUCCGUAACUGGUCUGAGAGGAUGAUAAGUCACACUGGAACUGAGACACGGUCAAGACGACUAAGGGAGGCAGCAGUGGGGAAUAUUGGACAAAGGGCGAAAGUAUGAUACAGCCAGGCCGAGUGUGUGAAGAAGGUCUUCGGAUUGUAAAGAACUUCAAGUUGGGAGGAAGGGCAGUAAGUUAAUACCUAGCUGGUUUGACGUUAACAACAGAAUAAGCACCGGCUAACUUCGUG